GCGCGAUCUCGGGCGUCCACCAAUACG
rnacentral:sRNA from 1 species